AUGUUUUGUGGGUCGAUUGACGGAUUUGAAAUUCAAAAUUUGUUACUUUGCAAGAUCAACAAUAAGUAUUCUCCUCAUUUGAGUUAGCACUCACAAAGGCCAUGUUUGGUAAAUGGCUUUUUCAUUUGCUUUUCAAUUUGGUCAAACAACCAAAAAAAGUGUUUGGUUAUUGGCUUUUUGGUUGGUUGAAAAGCUGGCUUUUAAGCCAAAAUGAAAAAGCUGCCUGAAGCAGCUUUUGGAUUGGCUUUUGGCUUAUUGGCCCACAAACUCUCUAAUAAACAGCCAACAACCACAAUUAAUUUUGCCAAACACUUUUGCAAACAAUUGGCUUGAACAUCCAACUCAAAAAGCCAAUACAUACAUUCAAUGCUUACAGCCAGUCAAACAAGCCAACUAAACCAGCCAAAAGCCAACAGCCAACAUCCGAUUGCCAAACAACCCCAAACAAUUAGGUACAUUGCCCCUCAAAGUUAAGAUAUCGGAAUGAUCUGGUACAUCAACCCUUGUUUUGCUCAUUUUAAUCUUGUCUAACUUUGCUACCUUUCUAUUAAAUAGUGGUAUCCCUUGGAUUAUGUAUUAGAAAUCUAGAAUGGAAAGAUCCAUUUGGUUGAGGUCAAUCUAGAUUGUUGUUUAAGGCAGUGUAACAUAAUUUGCUACAUAAUUCGCUUUUUUGGUUCACGGUCCGCCCAAAAUGGGCCAAAAAUAGGCCAAAACCAAUCAUAAGUCGCUUUUUUUGGAUAGCAAUUUGCGGGAGAUCAGGGAAUUAUGUUUCACUGGUUCAAGGUCAAUCUUGAUUACUGUUCAAGUAAGUGAAUUUACAUCAAUUUAACACGAUCAUGUAAUAGUCACUUCUCAUUCUCCUCAUCUCGAACAUGGUAAGUUUGAGCUAAAUGUGUUAUAACUUGUUUGCAAGAUGCACUUCAGAAAUGAUGUAUUAUUAGGUGUUUCUUAAUCAAUAAUUAUAACGUGAUGACAAUAGCGAAUUUCUGGUUUUGUCUUAUGUGUGAAAGGAUCUUCCGGUGGCAGUUUUUCAAUCCUGAGAAACUCCUAGAGUAUUCUUCUGUACAGAGGGAGGGGGGGGGGGAAUACAUCAGUUUAACCUGAGUUGCAGGUUGAACCUGACCAGUGAAUUGAUUUUGCAUAUCAAAACUAAGGUAUAGUUUUACCAAUGCUUAGACCACUAAUUGCCUUCUACUUCUGCCCCCCCCAAUAUUAAAGUAACUUAGAUGUAGGCCUAGGGUUCAAGUUAGUUUUAUCUAAUCCUUCCUCUACUCAAUGAAGUAUUAGUGUGAAUUACAUUCUGGAAAUUGCAAAUACAAUUGAUAGGAGGUAUGUGGUAUCUGGUACACUUAUGGAAUAGUGUAGCACAACUUGUUAGUGAUUUACUUUUCAGAACAUGUUUAGUGAUUUACCUAGGUAAUACUGGUUCAGAGCAAAAACCCUAAGGCCUAGUCUGCAACUCUGAAACACUGAUUGACAGAUAUUAAGUACUAAAACUUAAAGAGUUGUAAGUGCAACUGAAGAGAGUUGGAGUUGGCUCCUGGAUUGGUGAGCAAAACGUGUAGGGUUUGCUUUGGGUAUUUUUCCACUCAUGUCAGCUCUUUUUGUUGUUUAGGCCGUGUGAUGGUUCAUGACCCAAGGGUUUGAGAGUAUAUCAAUUCUAAACACUUGUAGUAUUUCCUGAUAUUUCAAAAAUAUAUAUCCUAAUGGUAACUAUUAAAGCUUUGUAGCAUGUUAAACUAUCUAAGUUUUUUUGCAACAAUUUUUAUUUUGAUAAGAUGACUAUUGAUGGAAGGAGGAAAUGUAAAUAUAGGUAUAAUAAACUCAAUAAACGGAGAGGAGAAAGUUUAAUCUUAUCAAAGUAAAGAAUGUGUUAAUCUUGAAUGCCUUAUGAUAAUUGAUUUGUCGGGUGGCACACUCAAUCAUAUAUGCACAAGUAAUAAUAACGCGGAAAUAACACAAGAAACAACAAGGAUCACACAAGUAGAUUAAUUGUGGAAACCCGAGAAUCGGGAGGAAAACCACGAAACGGUGCACUACGACUUUCAAUGAUGUGUAUGAUAUGGUGAAUUACAAGGCUUCCAAGAUCUCCCCCCAUCUAACCUAAUCAACCUAGAACCUGGGUCUUGGAGAUCCGAGUCCGUAAUUGUGUUACCCGAACACCUCACAUCUUGGCUUUUUCUCUCUCCACCACUCCUAGUAUUUCUAUCUCAUGGCUUAUAUUUAUAGUUAUGGAUGGCAAUGGGCCGGAUAGGGGGCGGGUCUGAUUAGACGUUGACCCGCAUCCGGUUUUUUUAAUCGAGCCAGACCCGACCCAAACCCACUGGGUCUGAAAAAAUUAGACCCAGACCCGAUGGGUUUAGCAGGUCUCGGGUCCAAAAUGUGUCCAAAACAGGUCCUGAAUACAUUUCUAUAGUUUUUCUUUUAUCACACAAUGAUCCGUAUAUAUAGUAUUUCUUUCAACAUUUCAUGUACUUUUUUAAUUUCAAGAAAAUAGCAACGAAUACUUUUGCACCUAAACUAAGUCAACCAUUCACAUAUUACGAACUCGGCAACUACUUCACUACUGCGAACAAAAACUAACUAUUUCAAUUUAAACAAAGUCAUUCAUAUAAUCAAUUAUCAGACAACUAUUUCAAGCUUCUAACAAAAUUAUAAAUCUUUUACGUAAACUGAGUUAUGCUAAAAUAUCCAAUAUUUUCAAAUGUUUACAAUAUAAUCAUAAAAUCACAACUUUGCAUUACUAACUAGUGAAAAUUUUAACUAUUGAAAUACUGAACAUUUGAUAAGUAACUACUGAAAA